CAGUUGCUAGGGUUUCGGCGAGGGAGUUGAGUUCGAAGACAUCGUCGCUCAGACAACCUUUACCGCCAAGGGGCGACCUAUAGAGAACACAACUGCAAAAAAGACUAUGGCAAGGCAAAGGCACGGCAAGUUUUGGGAAGAGAAGGAACAAGACUCAUACGCUGUGUCAGCGUUGUGGUCGACGCAGCUAUCACCUCCAGAAGAGCUGUUGCGCUGCUUGUGGAUUUCCCGCCGCUCGUCUGCGCAAAUGAACUGAAGCAACUCCAAGGAAGAAAGGUGCUGCAGCAGCCAGUUGAUCAUUGGCAGAGGAGCCAGUACAAUUUGACACGGGUUAUUUUGUGGAAUAUUCCGUUUUCAUGAGGACCUCUUUUUCAUCUUUUAUUGUCCUCAAGUGGUUACACUCAGUUGUUAAUAAUGUAUAAGUUGCAGCUUUUUAUAAUGUGAUACAUUGAUUCAGUAGACUUAUGGGCAGACCCAAGGUUGUAAUUGACUCA